AUUAUUAAGUAAUUCUUUCUUACAGUUUACAGCAAACCAGGCCUUCAUAGAGUUAAAAAAAAUUUUUUUGUUU